AUUGAACGCUGGCGGCAGGCUUAACACAUGCAAGUCGAGCGAGCGGCGGACGGGUGAUUAAUGUCUGGGAAACUGCCUGCUGGAGGGGGAUAACUACUGGAAACGGUAGCUAAUCCCGCCUCCCAUCAGAUCUGCCCCGAUUGGAGUGGCUAGUAGGUGGGGUAAUGGCUCACCUAGGCGACGCUCCCUAGCUGGUCAGAGAGGAUGACCAGACACACUGUAACUGGGACACGGUCCAGACUCCUACGGGAGGCAGCAGUGGGGAAUAUUGCACAAGGGGCGCAAGCCUGAUGCAGCCAUGCCGCGUGUGUGAAGAAGGCCUUCGGGGUGUAAAGGACUUUCAGCGAGGAGGCGUUACUCGCAGAAGAAGCACCGGCUAACUCCGUGCCAGCAGCCGCGGUAAUAC
rnacentral:rRNA from 1 species